GAAAUGAAUAAAUCUGGAACGCUACCUCCUACCGCAAAUUUGAAGCCAAUUAAACUUCAACGGGCCAGUCGCAGUCUUUUCACGCACACGAAGAGUGCUCAAUCCAUAGCUCAAUCAGUCAAUCAUGAUAUAAAUACGAGUGUCUUGACCCCCAGACACGCGUGUCUGGGGGUCAGAUUUGCCUUCAAGAAAAAGGUAGCGUUCAUUUCAAUGCGUCCAAUAGCUCUUCAAUUUCCGCCAUAUCUUGGAUUCACUUUUUGGACUCGAAUUCUCG